rnacentral:tRNA from 1 species
AAAUUUAGGUUAACUAUAAACCAAGGACCUUCAAAGCCCUAAAUAGGUACCCCCCUAAUUUCUG